rnacentral:tRNA from 1 species
GUUAGUAUAGCUUAUUUAAAGCGUGGCACUGAAAA